ACUGCGGAGAGGAGACAUUUCUGAACUUCACAGCAAGUUUCUCAGUUAAAACAAAAGCUGCGUGUUCCUGCAGAGCAUGGGCGGCUCACAUCUCAGCGUGUCUCACCCGGAGGCACUAGAUGCCCUUGUCUAAAUGUGAUGGCCAGACCUAUAACAAGGUGGCUUCUGUCCAUCUUGGUGACCAGUGUCUCUGCUGCUGCAGCAGAUCCGCCAGCUCCUCCCUCUGAUCUUGAGUGCUUUAGACCAUGUGACGAGACAAGCUGCCAUGUGGACAUACAGUGCACCUGGGAUCCAAAGUCAGACCCUAA